rnacentral:rRNA from 1 species
UACAGAGGUCUCGAGCGUUAGGCGGAAUCACUGGGCUUAAAGCGUGUGUAGGCGGAUCGUUAAGUGCCUUGUGAAAUCCCACGGCUCAACCGUGGAACUGCUUGGCAUACUGGCGGUCUUGAGCAACCUAGGGGCGAGCGGAACAAAUGGUGGAGCGGUGAAAUGCGUAGAUAUCGGAAGGAACAUCAGUGGCGAAAGCGGCUUCCUGGACCAGCACCGACGUUCAGGCACGAAAGCGUGGGGAGCAAACAGG